rnacentral:lncRNA from 1 species
UCAUAUUUCAGGGAUCUGGCUUUUAUUGUUACUCUAUCUCAGCAUAGUAUACUACAUCAAUUAAAAAAAAAAGACAUUAAAUGAUUUUGUGUUUAUAUUUAUUGUCAGCAAUACAUCAGUUAUGUAAAAAUAACCCAGAUGAAAAUGUAAUACUUGUUACAUUUUCACAUAAUCUGUAUUAACUGAAUAAAGCUUAGUGACAAUAUACACAAAUUUGCAGUAGUUGUACGUAAACAUUUUGUGCAUUAAAAAAGAAAUAUACAUAAUUUAAAAAAUAAAAAUGCAUUACACAAUUUACAAAUUAACAUUAACAAAAAAAGGUAAACAUUCCUCAGACAGCUGCCUCCUUGUUCUACAAAAUAAAUAUUCAAGUAAAUUAAGUUAGGCAAAAUAAACUCUUAACUUUGGGUGAGCACAAUUUACAUAAAGGUAAAGAGACAGAUUUCCAUUUCAUUCAAAGUAUAUUUUACAGUGAUUAUACAUAGUUUGUUUUUAAAUUGGUCUCUUCAGAUUGUAAUAUUAGAAAACAAACUUUAUUACAUUUUCGCAGGAGGAAGGGAGUUUCAAAAUUGAUGCUUUAUUACCAAACAUAAACAAGCUUGUGCAGUUGCAUCAAAGCUUCAAAGAGGAUCUGCUCCAGGACUCAAAGCAGACACAGUAAUCUAGAAACUACAGAUUUAAAAAGGAAAAUACAAACCACCACAUCCACAGGAAAAUGUCUACUUUGCUAUUUUCUGAAUGGUUUAUUUGAUCAGUGGAAACAUUACUUUCACAAACUAACAAUCUACGGUAGUGGCUGCUUUAGGCACUGGAUUUGUAGAAGCACUCUGAUUUUUAAACCAAAUUGCUUUUAAUUCUAUACUGAUAAUUCACCUGAUCAUACCGAUAAUUCCAUUUUUUAUUUCUGUUUCAAUGCUAAAGGGCUUAAUCACCUUUGCAAUGUUUAGCUUUAUAUAAAAUUUCAGCCCUCCUUAUAGUCUAAUAUUUUUUUCUUGAUAACAAGGGACCAUUCUGGCUUCAAAUUUUUGUGCACUUUCUUAGUGAAAAAAGAUAAUAAAAAUGCACUCUUGAAUUAAAAUGCAGCACUAGUAUGAUGCAGUUGCGCAUCAGCAAAAUUCACUGAUCAGAUAUAAAGUAUAACACAUAUUAAAUACUUGCAUGGAUUGCAAAGGCCAAACAUACUUAAAAACCCCUCCCAUCUUUUUCUUUGUUUGUCCAUUUUAUAUAGUGAGAAAAAGGAGAUGUCAUACCUUUAACUUCAAGUUAUUAAAUUCUUAGAUUUAGGAAGUAAAAAUCUUCAAAGCAAGACCUACGCAACAGCUCCUGCUAAGACCAGCUAGUAUAAUAAAUAAAGAUGACUCCUUGCCAAUGAAAGAAACCCUGUUCCCUCAAUUCCCUAUUGGUCCAAUACUAUUUGACAACACAGAAUCAGACUUUUGAAAAUACACAAAUCAUGAUUAAGCUUUAUGUCUCCACAUGAUAGUUAUCAUUCUUUGAAAUUUUGUAACUUUUCCACAUCAUUUUUUGUAUGUAUGUCUGACAAAACAGGAAUCAACUUGGCUUUUUCUUGUUUUCUACUAAAGAAUACUGAAGUAAUUAAAAUCACCAAGACUUCUUGGUUUUGUUUUUUUUGUUUUUUGGGGUUUUUUUUAACUAUACUUCACAAAGCAAUGUAAGAAAGACUGAAUUCCCCAGUCAUGCAACACAUAUAUGAAUGAACCACUGCUGUGGCAGGGGGCCAUGGCACGUCAUUAGCUGCAGCCAGAUCAAGGUAGAAAAUGGGAAAUUAAACCUGUACAAAAGAUUGUUACUGUUGUUCCACUCUGCUUAUCAUUCCCAUUUGGGGAAUACUUGUGCAGUGGGAGGAAGGUAAUUUUCUUGAUGCAUGGUAAUAUAAGUAAGUUAGCUAAGUUGUAGUAGGACCAUAACCAUAAUCUCUCUUAAACUUUCACAAAAUACACAUUGGUUCCAAGAAUUAUUCUACAUGGAACAAAGGUAGGUAUUUUUAAGGACUGAUGUUACCGAUCAAUGUCCAUAAGAGUCAUGUCAUCAGUUUCAGUGGAUCUGGGCCAAAGUUUGCAAAAAUACAGUUUUAUUCAGUGUGCAAAACCUGGUGCUUCUUGAGUAAAUAGCGUGAUGAGUAGGCAGAAAUGGUUUAGGUUAUAAAAAAGACCUGAGAACCUAAUAUUGAAUUUUAUAUAACAAUUAUUUUUGAGAGGUUGCCUGAUAAAGUUUUGUAUUGCUUAGUAGUGGCACAGUCUCUUGUACGUUCAGGCUACACAUAGAAGCCAUUUGAUGAGAAUAACCCUUCUCAGGUCACAAAUCACAUAUAUAACAGGCAGGUCGGUACAGUGGCAAGUCAAUGAGCUUCAUGUUGGAAGCGUAACACUGAAAAGCCAUGAGCACAGAAAAGGUUAACAGUGAGUUUUCAUACUGCUAGAGGUUUUAAAAAAGUCAUGAGUAUUAAAAUGGCAGAACUAUUGAUCUUAUUGUUUACUUGCCAGUAUACUCAAGAGUUUAACUGACUAAUUAAAAGUCUAUCCAAUUAUCCUGAUUAGAAAAGACAAAAGGGUUCUGAGUAUUGCACUGUCAGCAACAGUGAAAACGCUCUCACUAGUGGAAAGAAAAAAAAAA